AAUGUUUUAUUGUGUUCCUCGUAUGACGAAACGCUUAUAAAGAUCAGAAUUCCUAUAUGGAAACAAUCUGUGGUACACCAAGUUACCUCGCUACCAAAAUGUUAAUCCCGUAGCCCGAAGAACGAUCCUACAAGAAAUCGUCUGUUAUAUGUUUGGUAUGCCAUAUACUUCAGUUUACUCAAAUUCACGUAGUGAACACGAUUUGUAAUGAAGCUGGAGCAGGCAAAUAACCCAUUGGAGAAACAAGUCAAAGAAAGGGAGAAUGUUAGCAGUGAAGCUAAGGAUCUUAUAACAAAACUGCUUACUGUUGGUCACAGAAAAUGCAUCACGGUUUCAGAAGCUCUGGAACAUCCUUGGAUGAAGGAUAAAGAAAUGAUAGAAAAAGCAGAAAAAAUGAUAAAACCGACCGUGGAUGGAAGAUCAAUGUCUCCGCCCUUAUAAAAGCUUUAGAACCCCAUCGAACAGGAAAGUCGGAAUUUAAAAG
rnacentral:misc_RNA from 1 species